rnacentral:tRNA from 1 species
GAAGGGAUAGCUCAGCAGAAGAGCAUUUGACUGCAGAUCGAGUGGUCCCCGGUUCAAACCCGGGAGUUUUCUUCU